rnacentral:rRNA from 1 species
GUGAACGCUGGCGGUAGGCCUAACACCUGCAAGUCGAACGGCAGCACAGUAAGAGCUUGCUCUUACGGGUGGCGAGUGGCGGACGGGUGAGGAAUUCAUCGGAAUCUACUUUUUCGUGGGGGAUAACGUAGGGAAACUUACGCUAAUACCGCAUACGACCUACGGGUGAAAGCAGGGGAUCUUCGGACCUUGCGCGAUUGAAUGAGCCGAUGUCGGAUUAGCUAGUUGGCGGGGUAAAGGCCCACCAAGGCGACGAUCCGUAGCUGGUCUGAGAGGAUGAUCAGCCACACUGGAACUGAGACACGGUCCAGACUCCUACGGGAGGCAGCAGUGGGGAAUAUUGGACAAUGGGCGCAAGCCUGAUCCAGCCAUACCGCGUGGGUGAAGAAGGCCUUCGGGUUGUAAAGCCCUUUUGUUGGGAAAGAAAAGCAGCAGGUUAAUACCCCGCUGUUCUGACGGUACCCAAAGAAUAAGCACCGGCUAACUUCGUG